GACGAACGCUGGCGGCGUGCUUAACACAUGCAAGUCGAACGAAGGGGCGAACGGGUGAGUAACGCGUAAUCAACCUGCCCUUCAGAGGGGGACAACAGUUGGAAACGACUGCUAAUCCCGCAUAGUGAAGGAGGGUAGUGCGUCUGAUGAGCUAGUUGGCGGGGUAACGGCCCACCAAGGCGAUGAUCAGUAGCCGGUCUGAGAGGAUGAACGGGCACAUUGGGACUGAGACACGGCCCAGACCCCCACGGGAGGCAGCAGUGGGGAAUCGUCCGCAAUGGAGGAAAGUCUGACGGAGCAACGCCGCGUGAGUGAUGACGGCCUUCGGGUUGUAAAGCUCUGUUAAUCGGGACGCGAUACCGGAAUAGAAAGCCAUGGCUAACUACGUGCCAGCAGCCGCGGUAAUAC
rnacentral:rRNA from 1 species